rnacentral:tRNA from 1 species
GGGGAUGUAGCUUGUGGUAGAGCAUUUGCCUAGCAUGCAUGAGGCCCUGGGUUCUAUCCCCAUCUCCA